CAAGCAAGCCAAGGACCAUAUGUUUUUUGUGUUACACUUUCAGCAUCUAAGCUUAUUAUAUUCAACACAAGGAGAAAGUCCCCGGAAAACAAAUAUCUUCUGUCCAAUGAUUAAAGAUUAGGGCAGUGGGGUAUUUAGUAAAGCAACUUUGUUUGUUUGUUUUUUCAUAAUAAAAAGUAAUAUGGUCACCCUAUAAUAAUGGGGCAACUUAAUGGGGCUUACUCUGGCUUGUUU
rnacentral:RNase_MRP_RNA from 2 species